rnacentral:lncRNA from 1 species
UCUUAUCUUCAUGAGUAUCAUCGUUACUUUGCUUCAAGAGUCCUCUAUGAGCAACGUGCUCACUAUGCCUACAAAGCUCCCCAUUCAGAAGUUCAUGUCUUAUAACAAGUUGUCCUCGAGUUAUAAGAAAUUCUUACUCACUUCUACCUUCAAGCCACUAUUCUACCAUCACCCUGUCCCUUUCAAAGAAUGGCAUGAUGCUAUGACAGAUGAGUUAAAAGCCACAGAAACAAAACUAGACUUGGUCGGUUGUUCCUCUUUCUCUUUAUUGUUCUAAUUUUAUCAGAAGUUCAUGUCUUAUAACAAGUUGUCCUCGAGUUAUAAGAAAUUCUUACUCACUUCUACCUUCAAGCCACUAUUCUACCAUCACCCUGUCCCUUUCAAAGAAUGGCAUGAUGCUAUGACAGAUGAGUUAAAAGCCACAGAAACAAAACUAGACUUGGUCGGUUGUUCCUCUUUCUCUUUAUUGUUCUAAUUUUAUCAGAUGUCCUCCAAGGGACUCAGUUGUUCCUCUUCCUCCUACUCAACAUUUCAUAGGAUGCAAAUGGGUGUAUAAAAUCAAGCAUGGAGCCGAUACAUCGAUUGAACGAUAAAGCAAGACUUGUAGCCAAGUGGUACACUCAACGAGAAGGCUUGAUUAUGUUGAAACGCUUUCUUCAGUUGCCAAGCUUUUGACCAUCAAAAUUUUAUCAACUAUGGUUGUAUCAAUGAAAUGGGAACUAGUUCAACUUGACGUCAACGAUGCAUUUCUACCGUGAUCUUGUUGAAGAAAUUUACAUGGAUCUACCACUAGGAUACAAACAUGGUGUGGUUGCUAGAAAGGGGGAGCAUUUACUAUGUAAACUUAGCCAAUCAAUAUAUGGGCUUAAACAAAUUUCUCAACAAUGGUUUGAUAAGUUUUCUCGCAAUCAAUAUAUGCCCUGUUAUCCCUCGGAUUCUCACAAUCCAAGUUAGAUUAUUAUUUGUUUACCUGUGGCUCUGGACAUACUAUUAAUCUAUGUUAAUGAUGUAGUAAUAAUUGGUGCUUUAUCUACUAAUAUCUCCAUUCUAAAGCAACACUUGAAUUUUGUAUUCAAGUUAAAAAAACCUUAGCAGCAACUCCUGGCCAAGGUCUCUUCUUAAAGGCAUCUAUUUUUCAAAUACGUGCCUUCAGUGAUGAUUGGGCUUCUUGCCUUGACACUUGCAAGUCUACUACCAGUUUUUGUGUGUUUCUUGGUGAUUCAUCAGUCUCUUGGAAGUCAAAGAAGCAAGUGACAGAUUUAAAAUCAUUAGCUGAAGCAGAUAGAGGUUUAGCAACCACUGUUAGUGAAGUUUCUUGGCUUGUCCAACUGCUUAAAGACUUAGUGUUUUGUGAUAUAGUAUUUUGUGAUAGUACUGCUACCACUCACAUAGCCUCAAAUCUAGCUUUUCACGAAAGAACGAAGCACAUAUAGUUAGAUUGUCACCUCGUGUUAGAUCAUGUAGCAAAAGGCAAUAUCAAAUUGAUGCCUAUCCGGACUCAUUCCCAAUUGGCGGACAUUUUCACUACGGCCUUGCUAUCUUCAUUUACACUACUAUUGUCCAAGAUGGGUGUCCUAAAGAUACUAGGUCCAUCUUGAAGGGGAGUAAUGGAAAUUAGUUAUAUUGUUGAAACUCCUGAUAUUUUGUUAUUGGUGGUUAUUUUGAUAUAUCACCCACCUAUGUGUACUUCCAUUGGGUAUUUAUAUUGCCCAUUCUUAAUAAUAAAGAUUGAGCAAAGCUAUUUAGUCUUGGUGUUAGUUUAAUAAAGACUGAUGUUAUCUGUAUCAUACAUCUGACCUGUGAUUGAUUGGAAUGGCAUCUUGAAAAUAGAAUAUCAUAUCUUAAGCAAAGAAGUUAAUUGAAGGUAUGGGAAGAAAAAAAAAAGGGUGAUUCACUGGGAAAGCAUAUUCCAGAAAUUGACAACGUCAGAAGAAGCAGGAUGAUGUGGAGAAAGCGGGUGGCAGAAUGAGAAGAACAGUGGUGGAUGAGUUCAUCUCAUAAGUUGUCUCUUCUUUCCUUAUGUGUAGUAGCAUUAACAAAUUGCAGAAAUUAUUCUCUGUUCUUGUCUUUCAGGGUUUUAUUACACCCAAUAUUUCGACAUUUGGGCAAUGUCAGAAAGAAAGUGACCGUUUUCAGGGGUUGUAGGGGAAGAAUUUAAUGUAUCGGACCAAAUGAAACAAAAUACAGAAUAUAUAUAUAUAUAAUAUGUAUUUUGUGGUUUAUAUGUGGCAACUCAAAAUGUACUAUGAAGUUUUAAUUAACUGAAUGUAUUAUAUUCAGUUUUUCUU